CAGUAGCCACGGUAAUACGUAGGUGGCAAGCGUUGUCCGGAAUUAUUGGGCGUAAAGAGCUCGUAGGCGGUCUGUCGCGUCUGGUGUGAAAUCCCGAGGCUCAACCUCGGGCUUGCAUCGGGUACGGGCAGACUAGAGUGCGGUAGGGGAGACUGGAAUUCCUGGUGUAGCGGUGGAAUGCGCAGAUAUCAGGAGGAACACCGAUGGCGAAGGCAGGUCUCUGGGCCGCAACUGACGCUGAGGAGCGAAAGCAUGGGGAGCGAACAGGAUUAGAUACCCCCGUAGUCCCUGUCUCUUAUAC
rnacentral:rRNA from 1 species